UCAAACUUGGUCAUUUAGAGGAAGUAAAAGUCGUAACAAGGUUUCCAAUCACACUUAUAGAAGCCUUGGACCCAGUCUACUUCGUGUAGGCAACAUCUUCACUCUGCUUGGAUACCCGUAUGGUUACAUUCAGCUGCGAAGGCAGUCCACAGAUCAAACGAAGGUGGUCCCAGAAUUGCUCGUACACAUUUCUUGGAUUCAGAUAUGACCGGCCUGCACCUGAAAAGGUGAUAGACUUUAGCGUUCCGUAGGUGAACCUGCGGAAGGAUCAUUACAGAGAACCUGCCCUUUUGGGUAGAUCUCCCACCCUUUGCUUAUUCUACCUUUUGUUGCCUUGGCAGGCCCGUCGGUAGACCGCCGGCUUAGGCUGGUCAGUGCCUGCCAGUGGACACCUAACUCUUGAUCUUGUCGUGUCUGAGUUAACUGAUAAUCGUUUUAAAACUUUCAACAACGGAUCUCUUGGUUCUGGCAUCGAUGAAGAACGCAGC
rnacentral:misc_RNA from 1 species